CGGAGGAAAAGAAACAACAGGGAUUGCCCUAGUAACGGCGAGUGAAGCGGCAACAGCUCAAAUUUGAAAUCUGGCCUCGGCCCGAGUUGUAAUUUGUAGAGGAUGCUUUAGGCGCGGCUCCUUCUGAGUGCCCUGGAACGGGACGCCACAGAGGGUGAGAGCCCCGUAUAGUUGGAAGCCUAGCCUGUGUAAAGCUCCUUCGACGAGUCGAGUAGUUUGGGAAUGCUGCUCAAAAUGGGAGGUAAAUUUCUUCUAAAGCUAAAUACCGGCCAGAGACCGAUAGCGCACAAGUAGAGUGAUCGAAAGAUGAAAAGCACUUUGAAAAGAGGGUUAAAUAGCACGUGAAAUUGUUGAAAGGGAAGCGCUUGUGACCAGACUUGCGCCGGGCUGAUCAUCCGGAGUUCUCUCCGGUGCACUCUGCCCGGCUCAGGCCAGCAUCGGUUCUCGCGGGGGGAUAAAGGCCUCGGGAACGUAGCUCCUCCGGGAGUGUUAUAGCCCGGGGCGUAAUGCCCUCGCGGGGACCGAGGUUCGCGCAUCUGCAAGGAUGCUGGCGUAAUGGUCAUCAGCGACCCGUCUUGAAACACGGACCAAGGAGUCAAGGUUUUGCGCGAGUGUUUGGGUGUAAAACCCGCACGCGUAAUGAAAGUGAACGUAGGUGAGAGCUUCGGCGCAUCAUCGACCGAUCCUGAUGUAUUCGGAUGGAUUUGAGUAAGAGCGUUAAGCCUUGGACCCGAAAGAUGGUGAACUAUGCUUGGAUAGGGUGAAGCCAGAGGAAACUCUGGUGGAGGCUCGCAGCGGUUCUGACGUGCAAAUCGAUCGUCAAAUCUGAGCAUGGGGGCGAAAGACUAAUCGAACCAUCUAGUAGCUGGUUACCGCCGAAGUUUCCCUCAGGAUAGCAGUGUUGUCUUCAGUUUUAUGAGGUAAAGCGAAUGAUUAGGGACUCGGGGGCGCUUUUUAGCCUUCAUCCAUUCUCAAACUUUAAAUAUGUAAGAAGCCCUUGUUACUUAAUU
rnacentral:rRNA from 1 species